UCAACAUUCAUUUCAUAUGAAAAGCAAAAGCCAAAUCAGUGUCAAAUAAAGAAACAAAGAGUUGAAAACUUGAAUACAAUCAAAGAAGAAACUGUUCCUUUCACUCCACUACAAUGUGAAAGCCACAAUGCCCAAUGCUUUGUCAAUUCCAUAGAGCCACUUGCAUCAGAAUCCAUGUACUUAUCAUUGUUGCCAUAUCAAGAAGAGGAGUUUGAGAUGGACAAGAUUCUUCAGAGCUCAGAAUCGGAUCGUAUUGUGUUCAGCUCAACACCAACUUCAAUAAUUGAUUCGCCAUUUUCUAGAGAUUGGG
rnacentral:misc_RNA from 1 species